ensembl:lncRNA
CGCCGAGACGAUCCCGCAACAAGGCGAGGAGGAGAAGCGCACAGCGAGUGCUUAAAGUGUCAUUUAAGUCCGUAAUUCAGAUCUAGAGUCCACGCGUCUACCUGUCAAAGCCCCCGGCCCGCCCUAACGAGGCCCAUCUGUGCUAAUGACACAACGACCCCCAGGUGCCGGGCACAGCUGCGCCUCGUCCGGAGCCGAGCGCAACGCUCGCCCCAAAGCCUCUUAAGCUCCUCCGGGGGCUACCGGGAGCCACGAGGGCGCUCUGCGCAGUCCCUCGCCGGGAGGCGAUGGAGGAGGUUGUGGGGUGCUGUUCCUCUGCCCGAGGCGCUGCUGGGGCUGCGAGGGGCUGCUUGGAAGCCGAAACCUCGGGGUUCUGUUUAACGUUGUCUGUUGCGUUUGGUUCUUUUAUUCAGGCUGCAGGAGGGCGUCGGGAUCCGCCCCGGCCGUGAGUGCUUCAGUUUGUUCUGCUCUCAUCAGCGGGAGUGAGCGAGACGGGGCUGUGCUUCUGCGGCCUCGGCACUGCUGGGAGAGAGGAGCAACACGAAGGGCUGCUAAAACCAGGUGUUCUCCUACUGCAGCUGCAGCAGAGCCUCUCUUCAUCCCAAACCAGCGAGGUUGUGGAAGUGUUGAGAGUUUAGGAGUCAGUAGAAGGACAAUCCAGCAGGGUGAUGGAGUUGCUUUUCAGGUGAGAGAGCUGGAAAGGAUUGAGCCCUGCCUAGGGAUGAAUGAACAACUAGAGGAGUGCUUGUGAGGUAGGUAAAGGUGAGUAACAUCCUUGGGGGUGUUGGUUACAGACCAGGAUGAGGAAGAGGAUAAGACCUUCUGCGCACAGCUGUGGGCAUUAGUUGUUCUCAGGGUAGGCUGAACCACCCUAUCAGCUGUUGGGGAAGCAAGGCUGCCAGGCUUGGUUAUUCCAGGAGGUUCUUGCAAUGUGUCAAAGGUAAAACUUAGGACACAAGAGACGGAGGAGCUUGCUCUCCCUACAGAGGGAGGCUCAGCUGGAGGUGGCCGCUCUGAGAUGGUGCAGUUCAGGAUCUGGUGUGGAAGAAGCAAAGCAGUAAGUAGGGUUGAGAUAUUGGAUUUUCAGGAAGCCUGGUUUGUCCUCUGAAAGGAUCUACUUGGAGGUAUCCGUGCAGUUGGAACGUCAGAAGAGGUCCUGUGGGCGGUUGUUGUUUCAAGCAAUUUAUUUGCGCUCAGGAGGGGCGCUCUUAGGAGAGUAAGAAAAGGAGCAGAAAUAGCGGGGGAGCUUCAUGGGAAAAUGGGGCUUGCAGAAGAACUUGAAAGCGAGAAGGAAGAGAUUAGGAUGAGGAAGGCUAAAGCCUACUUAGUUUCUUCUUUGGGGGGGGGGAAGAUCAAGGAUAACAGAAGUUAGCAAGUUUGUGAACAGCAAGGAGGAGAGUAGGGUGGGUCCUCUGCCUCAUCAGGCAGGGGCUGGAAUGCCUUCUUUGUUGCAGCUGAGGAUGCUCCUUGACGAUCCUGGAUCCCAGAGGAAAGCGUCUUUGAGGAAGGAUGCCUUCCUGAUUGCAGAGGAGGCGGCAAAGAUCACGUGGACAAAAUUGGUGCCCCCCAGGAAAGUUGUGUGAGGACGGGAGGAUAGCCAGCAUCACGGCAGCCUUCAAGAAGGGUGUCAUUUCCAAGGAACUUGAAGAGUUUGCUAUGAAGCAGUCAAGGUGGCAUCACUGAGGGGAAAUUGUGCUGCUCCAACCUGGGAGCGUCUGCUCAGAGAAGAGCAGGGGAUGCUGCAAGCCUGACUUCAGUGUUUCUGUUGGUGUUUUUGUAAUGAAGCUUAACAAGUGUGAGAUGGUGACCUGGAUGAAGGGAGAGUCUCUAAUGUCGGUGAGUGAGCGGAUGAUGCGAAGCUGGGAGGAGCAGUGACAUUCAGCGGGACCCCAUAAACUGUGGAGAGCAGGUCAAGCAGAGGGGAAAGCUGUACAUGGGGUCUAAUGGAGGGCAAUGAAGAUGAUGAGGGGCCUGGAGCAUCUCUCUGUGGAGGACUGGAUGAGGACCCUACAGCUGUUUGAUGAAGAGAAGGAUGGAGGCUGCAAAGGAGAUUUUUUUUUGGCAAGGAUCUGCCUGAACAUGAGUGGUGGAAUGGAGGAGGUAAGAGCCCUCAGCUGUGUUGUGUAGGUGUGGAGGCUCCUUUGUCAGAGGUUUGGUGCUGGAACAAGGAUUGCUGUGUGACUGCCUCUCCAGAGGGAGGUGUUUUUCCAGUGGAGUGGAAUUGAUGGAGCAUUCAGAAGUGGUGCCUUUUGGUGGAGCUUCACUUGGGCUGUAGCAGAGGAAUUGGAGCUGACUUAACAGUGUGUGCCCCAGAAAUACUGGGAAUGAAGUUUGCUUCCAUAGUGUGAGAAGCAGGUUGUCUUCUUCAGCACUAUGGUGUGUCAGACUUGCUUGACUCACCAAAUGAAACCAGUACUUUUCCAGUGUUUGCAUUGUUGCAGCGGAAUUCCUGGAGAGAAGCGUUGCUUGAGUUUGGAAGGGCUUCUCGAGUGUGAAGGUAGGAGUGCUGUCCUGAGAGCUGAGCGGUGUUGACUCUUGCAAAAAGAUGGUUUCCUUUUUUCAGAUAGGUAAGUCAAACCACUGUCAGCAAACCAAUGGAGAAACCAGAGACUAGUGCAUCUCUACAGUACCCUUUGGGUUAAGUUAGGAAUCAGAAAGCAGCCUGGGUUGGAAGGAACCUGUGUCUCUAAGCUCUGCACUGCUCUGCCUCAACUUCAGUUGCAUCUCUGAGUCUCACAAAGCCUGGGGAUGACCAGUGUCAAUGACAGUUUGCAUUCUGGUUCUACUCAAUUUUCACAUUUUCAGAUUCAAAGUAACAAUUUCUACACUAGGAGGAACUUAGCUGUAACACCUGGGCACAAAUUACACCUUUGGAGACAAACUUCAAGAUUUGCAAACUUCAAGAUUUGUUUCCUGUAGGUACAGGCCUGAAUCAAACACCCCUUCUGUGUCACGUUGCAUCCUGUUUCCCAAGGUUUCCAGGUGACUCAAACAUUUUUAUCUUCAUUUUUACUGCAGAGUCAGCAGUUAGUUAAUACAUGAACUGAAAUAAAACAAAAAACAACCACCAACUGGAGGGGAAGGCAGAAAACACUCUUGCUGUGAAACAGGCUCCAGGCCAAGAUUGGUUCCCUCUGCUUGGUCCAGUUACAGUUCAGAGGCUCAUUCCUUGGAAGCAAAAUCUUAUAAGUAAACAUGGAGCUGAGCCUCUCUCUGCCCUUUAUCCCCUCCCACGAAGCCUAUUUUUUUUUUAUCCCAUUCAACUCAAAGGCACCCUCAGAACACUGGACUAAAUCUGCCUACAAACUGAGUCCUGUAAUAAAAUAAAUCUAACUCUGGUCACAUUAAAAUACAUCACAGACCUUCAAAGGAAUAGUGCUAGGCUGCCUAAUGAAAAAUAGAGUGCUUCAAGUGAGAUAAACCAACAUUCUGACCGUAAGCAAGAACAAACUGGGAUCGGGUGUCACAGGAUAUUCCUUCUCUCUGGGUUUUUGCAUAUUAACCAGCAGACAGAUUUGUGGAAGAUGACUUAUUGCUCUCAGUUUUACCACAAGGAAAAUACAUAAUGUUUCUAGCUGAUCGGUAACAUGAAGUUCAACUCUGUCCCAGUACGUUCAUGCAUGGCCUAACAAGUGAAAUUACUUAAAAGAGAGCCCUCGGUGUCAAAAAAGGCUUUACAAAAAUGACUCAGGGAUUUUUCAGCUACUUGCCCUUACUGAGUGCAGAGCCCUCUGUCCCUCUAAGCUUUAGCAGCUCUGUAUGACUAUUAUUGAAUGGGAACCUCCAUUAUCUCAGUGCUGACUGAGGUACCAAUGCCCAUUGGGGUGACUGAGGGAAAGGGCAGUGAGUGUUUGCUUUGGCUGCUUAGCCAAGCUAGACUUAUGUUAUGCAUCCUGAUUUAAAUGUAAUGUGGAGAUGUAACAUGGAUGCCCCAUCCCUGGAGGCAUUCAAGGCCAGGCUGGAUGUGGCUCUGGGCAGUGUGGUCUGGUGGUUGGUGACCCUAUGCAUAGCAGGGGGGUUGGAACUAGAUGAGCAUUGUGGUCCUUUGCAACCCAGACCAUUCUAUGACAAGUGAAUCAGACUUUAAACAGAGGAAAAUAAAAAAGAGGAAAGCAUAGAUGUCACGUACAAACAUCUGAGAAAAUAUCUCAGAAUUGACAAAAACAAAAAAAAUAAUCUGAGCAAAAGUUAACAUUUGCUCCUUUUUAUUUUGAGCAAUGUUAAAUAUAGUUUCCCUGCACUUUGCAGUGUCAGCUAACAGCCUGCUAUAUCCUUAGCUCAGCCAUAGCUGGAAGGAUCAGUCCCUUUACAGACACCCACACAGUCCAUCUUUCCCCGCCCCAUUGGCCACCAGUUCACACACACAAGGAAUCAUCCAGUAGGUACAAUGGCCAGUCACCGCUGCAGCUGUUGCUGUGCCUUUGAAGGAAACACAAAGUUACUGCUUGUCUUUCUUCCCCUCUCUCCUUUCUGAAGGCUUCUAGGCUGUAAGCGUGCAGGAGAAAACUGGAACUGCUUAGGCCUCCCUUGCAACAGUUUGGUUUCUGAACAAAGUUAUGAAACUAAGAGAAGAUACGGGCUUCUUCAUCAACUUUUUUAAAACACCAAAGAAAAAUCAUGUUUAAAGGUGAUGCUAUUAGCCGAAGACAACAGAAAAAGGGUGGCAACUUUCCCUAUAGAGAGCUCAAGAUGUGUGUGUCGUCAAUGCUUCCGGGACCCCUCCUGGGCUUCAGCAAGCACGCAGGCCAUGGCUAACAUUUCCAACCCUGAAACCCAGCCCUCCAAGAAAAGAGUAAAUCAAAAUACAUAACAUAGGGUGAUGCAGGGCUACUUCUUUCAUUUCAUCUUCACAGCACAGAGCUCUCUCUGCAAGACAGAUACGCAAGUGUAUUAAGCCCACUGACACCUCUCCAAAAGCUUAUUUGCUGGCUAAUUAGACAGUUGAAAAGAUCAACAGGUCGAUGGAAUUGAGAUAACGCUAUCCAAUGUAAUUACUACAAUUGCAAUAUUUUAGGAAUUGAAGAACAACUCCAUUCGACCUAUGCCAAAAAGCCUAUAUACAGAAGUCCGUACUUAGGUGGUUAUUUUUCUCUAUCGGUUCAUAAUUGCCUUCUGUUUUUAAUCACAGCUUCUUUCUCCAACUGUUGCAAAGAUGGCACUGUUGUUUUUUCCUGCGUAGCCUGAAGUCCCCAGUGGCUACAGUCCACUUCUCUCCACCGCUGACGUUUAAGGUGCUGACAGCCCCCAAGCGCCCGAGGGAUCCUGCUGUCUUCGGCAAGGUCUCAUUUCAUUUAAUUUCAUAUUUAAAGCUUCCGUGACCUUUUUGAACAUGUAAAUGAUAAAAAUACUUUCACACACGGAUGUAUCGAGCGCCACGUCCACCUAGGCUUGUUAAUAAACCUCGUUGCUCUGUUUCUGCUGGCCCGUGGCUAUAUUAGCUGUCUGCUCGCCUUAUUUGUGAGAUAUAAAUAGCCAGGGACUGCACACUCGCUGUCUAGUUACAUCGAGAUAACAGUGAUUUUAAUACUCUUAAACAAGCCUGUCUCCUGACGUGGGUCUGUCCAGAACGCUCACUCUUACCUAUCUUCCUUCUUCGUGUUUGAGUGGGAGAUUCGUAAGCAAAAUCUCUCAGCCACCAAACAUGCCAAUAGAAAACAAAAGGGCCACUGAAGGGCGUUUUUGCACUGUUCACACGCUGCUGUUGGAAAGUAAUUCUCCAUACCAUUUCUUAUGUUUGGGCUCAAUAACAUUUCAUACCCGUACCGCACAGUGGUUCUGACCCAGUCACGCUGCAUUGGCCUGAAUCAGAAAGUCCCAGACUCAUCUCAGGGCUAUGCUGUAUCAUUCUUACUGCAAAUUGAAGAUAGCUGGUACUCCCUUCCCAAAAGGCCUCGAGCCUCAGCACAGUAAUGCCUUACAGUGAAAGUAAAGCAGAGAGAGGCAGAGAACUACACUCAGUAAGGGAUUGAACUAACAACAGAAUUUAAACAGGAUUUAGGUGAGGAUUGGCAUCUAAAUACACAGUUGUGAGCUAAAGACCCUUGGCUCUCAGGGCACCUCCUUCUGUGACCGAAAAGGUCUCUAGGGCCGCUGUGAGGGUACAGAGGGAGAACUGCAUCCUGGCUUCCCAGCAUCUAUUUUUCUGCUGAACUAAGUGCACGUGCCCUGUAAGGCACGCCCAGAGCACGCUGGACACCCUGCCUUAGCCCCGGGUCGCGCCACUUGUUCGGGUAUCGUUUGGGUAACCGAUCUUUCAGUGCUAAAUGCCGACUACAGCAUCCUCAGAGAGAAGCUCUCUCUCUUGGAGAAGCUGAUAGCCCUAAGCACAGCAUUACAGAGCGCUGAGAGUCCCCCACAGGAACAUGCUGCCCCUGGAGGACGGCUAGUCUAGUCAGGACCUAAUGCAAACCAUGGGAGUACAGGUAUCUGUGGAAUAACAUACCAGUUUGACUGUGUAUAAAAUGAGAUACAAUGAGUAAGUUCAUCAAGGAAAUUAUAGCCUCUGGAGAAAUCCUUUACAAUAGCUGCGAUGAGUAACAUCUCACUCCAUGACUCUGUUGACUUCCAUCUUCCCCUAUAGUUACAUGGAUUACCCUGGAAGCAAUGCCUCCUCUUUAUUUCUGCAGAAACUACAGUGAAUAAAAAGAGCACAAGAACACUAUUUGAUAGUGUUUUGUGGCUGAGAACUUGCUCUGCUUUUCAACAUAGUCACCGCUGCUAGCUAUAGACUUUGUCGCAUGGCUAUAUCUAA